rnacentral:lncRNA from 1 species
ACAAUAUAGUAAAUGAAAAGUCUUAGAUAAACCAGAAAGAUAAACUCAAGUUUUCUCGUAAAAACACAAACCAGCAGCUAAUAAUAUUUUUUUUAAAAAGAUAAAGAAAAACUCACUGAAGCUCCAAGAAGAAGAAGUAGUACCCUAAAAAGAGGAGAAAGAAAAUGAGGUGAAGAGCUCGAGGGGUUAGCUUAUUUUUUGCAUACAAUAAGCCCUGAGAAAGAGAGCAGUAGCUUCAACUCAGCUCUAUGCUGUUUCCCAAGACACACAAAACUCUGUUUAUUUUUUCCUUUUCUUUCUCUUCCUCUAUGUUGUUUUGUUUUUGUCAGUUGGGCCUUAGUAAAAAGACAAAGAAAAACUCACUGAAGCUCCAAGAAGAAGAAGUACGCUAAAAAGAGGAGAUAGAAAAUGAGGUGAAGAGCUCGAGGGGUUAGCUUAUUUUUUGCAUACAAUAAGCCCUGAGAAAGAGAGCAGUAGCUUCAACUCAGCUCUAUGCUGUUUCCCAAGACACACAAAACUCUGUUUAUUUUUUCCUUUUCUUUCUCUUCCUCUAUGUUGUUUUGUUUUUGUCAGUUUAGACACACAAAACUCUGUUUAUUUUUUCCUCUCUCCUUUCUCUUCCUCUAUGUUGUUUUGUUUUUGUCAGUUGGGCCUUAGGAACCAAACAAG